GUUCCUUCUGCUCUCCCAGGCUGGCUGCUUGGGACUGGGAGCAGUAGGCAAAGUGAUUGGCCUUCAGGGGUCACGUGCUCCCUGCAUGGGCACUGGCAAGCCAGGUAAAGAGAUACUAAAUGCGUGUGCGUGUGUGUGUGCACGGGCACUGCUUGGGCAGCAGUCUUGGGGUGCAGGGGCCCGUGGGUCAGGAGCGAGUGGCAGGAACAGGCAAGAGAACUGGCGGCUGCCUGGAAGUCUGUAAGGGGUUGCUGUGAGCGCGUUCCCCGACCGUUUGAUCCAGGCGGACGGAUUUUCAGGAACACAGUUUUCAGGACCCUAAAUGCCUAUCUUUGGUUCCAGAAGGGUGGUCAGAAAAACUUCUGGGGCAGAACUGUGCUGCACCCAAGGGCCAAACACAAGUUUUGUGCCCCACUGCAGAGAGUGGAAAAGUGAACACUUUGGUGCAUGAGCUCCCAGUCCAGGGCUGGUUCGCUUGCCUGUUCCUGCUUUCCUGGGGUUUUGUUGGUAUUCAGAAGUGGGGCCAUGAUUAAGAGGGGUGGCCGGGGCCAUUCGUAUUGUGCCACUAGAGGUGAAAUUCUUGGAUUGGCACAAGACAAACCAAAGUGAAAGCAUUUGCCAAGAAUGUUUUCAUCAAUCAAGAAGGAAAGUCAGAGAUUCAAAGUCGAUCAGAUACUGUUGUAGUUCUGACCAUAAACAAUGCCGAUUAGUGAUCCAGCAGCGUUAUUCCCAUGACAUGCUGGGCAGCUUCCAGGAAACCAAACUCUUUGGGUUCUGGGGGGAGUAUGGGUGCAAAACUGAAGUUUAAAGGAAUUGAUGGAAGGGCACCACCAGGAGUGGAGCCUGUGGCUCAUUUUGACCCAACUUGGGAAACCUCACCCUGCCCAGACACAGAAAGAAUUGAAAGAUUGAUAGCUCUUUCUUGAUUCUGUGGGUGGUGGUGCAUGGCUGUUGUUAGUUGGUGGAGUGAUUUGUCUGGUUAAUUCUGAUAAUGAAUGAGACUUUGGCAUGCUAACUAGUUGUGUGACCCCUGAGCAGUCAGCAUCCAACUUCUUAGAGGUACAAGUGGAGUUCAGCCACCCGAGAUUGAGCAAUAACAGGUCUGUGACGCCCUUAGGUGUCCAGGGCUGCAUGUGUGCUACACUGACUGGCUCAGCAUGUGUCUACCUUACACCAACAGGUGUGGAUAACCCGUUGAACCCUAUUUGCGAUGAGGACUGCAGUUAUUUCCCACAAAUGAGGAAUACCCAGGAAGUGCAGUUCAUAAGCUCAUGUUAAUUAAGUCCCUGCCCUUUGUACACACCUCCCAUUGCUACUACUGAUUAAACGGUUUAGUGAGGUCCUUGGAUCGGUCUUGCCGGGGUUGGUCAUGGUUUUGGUGGAGUGCUGAGAAGAUGGUCAAACUUGACUAUCUAGAGGAAGUAAAAGUCAUAACAAGGUUUCCGUACAUGAACUUGUGGAAG
rnacentral:rRNA from 1 species